UCAUAAGUUUCAUAUUUUAUUCUUUUGUUAUUAAUUCAUUUCCAGGUGGUGAACUUGAUGUAGUUUUUUAUACCGGCUUUUAAAGUGGGGAAAAUUUACAUUUUAACAUCUCAAACUAGUCUUCUAAGCAAGCUCUUCAAAACAACAGAGAAGCCAGCUGUCAGAGGUUUCAUUUUAUAGUUCUAUUUAGUAGUAAAUGACUGUGAAGAAUGGCAUGGGGUAAGAUAAAGGCAAAGGUUCAAAGGAGCAGUUCGUACACAUUUUCUUGCAGCAGACCACAUGAUAAGGGCAAAGGUUCAAAGGAGCACUUCUGAGGGAGAGAGAGGCCACAUGACAUCCUAGGUUUAAUUUGGCUCGUUUGAUGAAGACAAAGUUAAGUUUUACUGUUAUAACUAAUUAAAUUUCCUUUUCACUAUGACAAUCUUUUUUGUAAUAGCUACAAGCUCCGUUUAUCAAUAUAGUUGUAUGCACUCUAAUUUUUCGGUUAAUGAUAAAGCCAAUAAGGUUGAGCCUCUUUAAUGCAUCAGCAUUGGAAUUUCCUAGAACCACAGGGGGACCCUACAUAUAUUAUUUGGUCACGAAUGAGGUAGUACAAUUUUUUCUUUUAUAUCUUGCUUCAUGUUUCCUUUAUUUAAUUUUAAAAAACUAUGUGUCUCUGAGUUGUUUUUGAAUUGCAGUCUCUUCUUUCCGGUGACAUUAAAAUCCUGAACUUGGAAUUUUGCAAUCAAAAUUAGCAAAUGAUACUGAACUAUUCUUGGUCAAUAAAGGUUGCUACUUUUGGUCGAUAGAGAAUAUUCUUGUGGUGAAAAGGAAAAUAUAGAUAAAAGUAAAGGAUACAAAGUUUUUCCUUGAACCGUCAGAAAGUGUUUCUCGUGCGUAAGGACAAAGGACAAAAGAAAGGCGCUAAAAUAAGAAUAAAUUCUUUGAAUUAGGUGGGUCCAUUGAAUUCAAUACUUCACGGGAACACUAAAUUUGGUUGGUAAAAUGAAUUGAAUUGUGCUUCCUGGUUUCCACUCCAAUACUUAUGAGGACCUCUAAAUAUGGUUGUUGCUUUCCUUUAUUUAAUUUUUAAAUAACUAUAUAUAUGGAUUUAUAAUAUUUUAUGUAUGGAUUUAUUCCAAAGAAUUGGAGAUAAUACCUCUCACUGCACAUCACAUGUUAUAAUUACUCUCAAGCCCCUCCAGUAGUGAUUUGAUUAUAUUAAUACGUUGAGUUAUAAGAUUUUGGGGCAUUUUGGGUCCUUUAUCUAAUUUUUAAAUAACUGUCUCGCUAAGUUAUUUAAAAAUAACAUGAUGUUUUUGGAUUGCACGUUUUGGGUUGUUUAUCUAAUUUUUAAAUGACAUGUUUUUUUUGGAUUGCCCGUUUUGAUCUUUCUUCCUUUCUUUAGCAGAGGCAUUGUUCCAUGGAAAAGGCAAUCGACAUUAAAAUCCUGAACUUGGGGAAUUGCAGUAUGAUGCAGUCUCUUCUUUCCGGUGACAUUGAAAUCAUGAAUUGCACAAGAAGUUCUUUCGGUUAAAACGCCGUUCGACUUGGAGGACAAUAAAGAUAAGUCUUGUCGUUACGGCAACUACCAGCAAAGAAGAAAAUUAUGCUUCUAUCAAUACUCUUCAAAUUACUACUUAUCGAUUGAAUGGCCACAAUUUUUUAUAAUGGUCUCAAGCUGUAAAAAUAUUUUUGAGGAGUAUUAUCUUAAUGGUUC